rnacentral:rRNA from 1 species
UGCACCUCGCGUUAUUGGAGCGGCUGAUGUCUGAUUAGCUAGUUGGUGAGGUAAAGGCUUACCAAGGCGACGAUCAGUAGCUGGUCUGAGAGGACGGCCAGCCACACUGGGACUGAGACACGGCCCAGACUCCUACGGGAGGCAGCAGUGGGGAAUUUUGGACAAUGGGGGCAACCCUGAUCCAGCCAUGUCGCGUGAGUGAAGAAGGCCUUCGGGUUGUAAAGCUCUUUCGUCCGGAACGAAACGGUGGAUGCUAACACCAUCCAUUACUGACGGUACCGGAAGAAGAAGCACCGGCUAACUACGUGCCAGCAGCCGCGGUAAUACGUAGGGUGCGAGCGUUAAUCGGAAUUACUGGGCGUAAAGCGUGCGCAGGCGGUGGCUCAAGUCAGAUGUGAAAUCCCUAGGCUUAACCUGGGAAUUGCAUUUGA